rnacentral:rRNA from 1 species
UAUUUUGUACAUUCCUACAACGUUAAUGCACUGCAUCCCAUCAAAACUCCAUAGUUAAGCGUUCUUGGGCUAGAGUAGUAUUGGGAUGGGUGACCUCCUGGGAAGUCCUAGUGUUUUACAUGA